rnacentral:rRNA from 1 species
GACGAACGCUGGCGGCGUGCCUAAUACAUGCAAGUCGAGCGAAGUUUUUCUGGUGCUUGCACUAGAAAAACUUAGCGGCGAAGGGGUGAGUAACACGUAAAGAACCUGCCUCAUAGACUGGGACAACUAUUGGAAACGAUAGCUAAUACCGGAUAACAGCAUUAACUGCAUGGUUGAUGUUUAAAAGUUGGUUUUGCUAACACUAUGAGAUGGCUUUGCGGUGCAUUAGCUAGUUGGUGGGGUAAAGGCCUACCAAGGCGACGAUGCAUAGCCGACCUGAGAGGGUGAUCGGCCACACUGGGACUGAGACACGGCCCAGACUCCUACGGGAGGCAGCAGUAGGGAAUCUUCCGCAAUGGGCGAAAGCCUGACGGAGCAACGCCGCGUGAGUGAAGAAGGAUUUCGGUUCGUAAAGCUCUGUUGUUAGGGAAGAAUGAUUGUGUAGUAACUAUACACAGUAGAGACGGUACCUAACCAGAAAGCCACG